CGGGGUGUGGGCGGUGCGGGUGGCACCGGCGCGAGCGCGCGUGGAGGUGGCACUCGGGAGGCAGCGAUCGGUAUUGAAGGCCCUCAAGGGUCCCUCAGGAGUGCGCGACUGGAGCCGGUGGCUCCCGCGCUAUUGCAGCAUAACACUCCAGCAUCCAUUUCCUGGACAGCUGGUUACGCCACUCCAACAACCCAGAGGACACAAAUCCACGGAGCGGCUGUCAGGCCUCAGACAUCAGGAGGACUCGGACGGCCCCUAUUCACUUUGCUACGUGUGUAAAGGACAAGGAAAGGUUUAGAAAACACAGGACAGAGAUUUGGUUUCCUGUUCCUUCA